GACGAAGGGGGCUAGCGUUGUUCGGAAUUACUGGGCGUAAAGCGAGUGUAGGUGGUUGUCCAAGUUGGAUGUGAAAGCCUUGAGCUCAACUCAAGAAAUGCACUCGGUACUGGGUGACUAGAGGACCGGAGAGGAUAGUGGAAUUCCCAGUGUAGUGGUGAAAUACGUAGAGAUUGGGAAGAACACCAGUGGCGAAGGCGGCUAUCUGGACGGUUUCUGACGCUAAGACGCGAAAGCGUGGGGAGCAAACAGG
rnacentral:rRNA from 1 species